GAGACGUGUCUCUAUUUUUUUCGGACUUGUCUUUGACUUGGGCAUUGGACUCGCCAAAUAUUCUAGUUGGUCUUGACAGAGUCCAGCAAUAUAUACUUUU